UACGAAGGGGGCUAGCGUUGUUCGGAAUUACUGGGCGUAAAGCGCGCGCAGGCGGUUUUUCAAGUCAGUGGUGAAAGCCCGGAGCUCAACUCCGGAAAUGCCAUUGAAACUGUAAAACUUGAGGACGAGAGAGGUGAGUGGAAUUCCCAGUGUAGAGGUGAAAUUCGUAGAUAUUGGGAAGAACACCGGUGGCGAAGGCGGCUCACUGGUCCGGUACUGACGCUGAGGUGCGAAAGCGUGGGGAGCAAACAGG
rnacentral:rRNA from 1 species